UGGAAAGUGAGGAGCGUCUCUGCCCGGCCGCC
rnacentral:piRNA from 1 species